GCCGUCAAACAGUGAAACGCAUGCGCGAAUGUGUACGAACUCUCUCAUCCCACAUUCUCAGUUAAUAAUACCGUGUCGACCUUUCGGCGACGUUUACGUUCGAGAAAGCGUGAAUCGAAUUAACGAAGUAGGUAGAUAGAUAAGACUUCCCUUUGGCCGGGACGACGAGAAGGCAGCGAGAAGACGUCGAAAAGAUGCGAGAACGACGGAGACCUUUGAAAGGGUGAGAGAUGAGAAUGAAAGAGAAGGAAAGAGAAGGAAGGAAGGAAGGAAGGAAGGAAGGAAAGAACGAAGACGGGAAGGCUUUCGAAGCUCACUUGGGGAUCUCUCAUAAACGUAUUCAUUAGAGGAGAAGCGUAGCUCGUAGGCAAACGAGUUGGACGAGGAGGAUGACGACGUUAAGCCGCGCGAUUGUUACUCGAGCCGAAAAUGUAGGAUAAGGAGAAGGAAGAGAAGAGGAUAGAAGGGUCGAGGGAAAACUCGAGGCAAGUUCUCCGCCGCUACGAGAGGGGUUAUUGAUCUUAAUUAACCGACUCGUGCUCUGAGCGUAUUAGCAGAGAGUAUACGAGUCGUGUAAUUCGGUAUAAUAUUCCACGAGCCUGAUCUAUGGAUACUAAGCUAUGAGAUACGAAGGAGAGAAUUUCAAAAGCAUCGUAAUCAUUUUUUUUUUUUUUUAAAGAACACCAUUAACGUUAUUAUUAAUCAAUUAAAUCGAUUGCCAAUCUUAUAAGUUUCUAUUUCCAAACUGUACAAAAUUGAUUCAAUAUUUUAUUCGAUUUCAUUCGAAUGAAGAUAUAUUUGACGAUUACAUGAAAGAUUGUAGAAAAUUGUGUGUUGAUUUUUAAACUGUUUAAUAUCUACGUUUAAACGACAUUGAUGAAUUUACAAGAAGCUUUAUUUCAUAUAGACGCUGGUAUUAACGCAAUUCAGAAACGUGACGAAUUACCUCAAGAGAAGGGAAACGUAUCGUACCUUUCUUCGCUUUAAUUAAUCAUCGCACAUUCUAGUGCACGCGUCUUAUUAAGACGUUUAUCUUGACCCUGAUCGAAGAGUUUAAAACUUAUGCAAAUUGCUUUUAAAAUUAGAACCAUAAUGAAUUCAUCGACUUUUGACAAAUCGUUCGUAAUUAUUCGGAGUGAAGUGUAUUACCUUAAAAAAUCAUAAGAGUACUACAUUCCUCGCCAUUUCUCUCUCUUUCUCUCUUUCCUCUCUCUCUCUCUCUCUCUCUCUCUCUCUCUCUUUUUCUCUCUUUCAUUCCUAUAAUCGUGCUGGUAUCGUCGAUAGAAAUGCGAUCUAGGCAACCCCUCAAAUGUGUAUAGUAUGACAGUUUACGUUUCGCUAUCAAUUCAACACGAUCGAAUUUGAAUUGGAUCAACGAGUUUCAAAUCUUCGUCGUCUCACUGUCGUCGCAUUAAUUGGAUUACGAAGAUAUAACGUCUUCUUCUAUCUUCUUCAUUUUUCUUUUUUCUCUCUCUCUUUUUCUCUCUCUCUCUCUCUCUCUCUCUCUCUUUCUACUUUAUUAUGUCAUAUUAUUAUUAACCCCACGUGCUAUUUUAAUAAUACAUUAGAUUUAAUAAUUGAUUAAAUAUACUUUUACGUGAUUAUGAGAUAUUAAUGUAUACUAUGUAUCGUGUAUAAUUAUUUCGAUGUAAUUAAAAUAUCUUUUUCUUCCUCUCUUUUUCUUAUUCUUUUACAGCAAUGAAUAUGUAUUAUACGCAUAGUUAUUUUAUAUGAUCUAUAAAUAUAACCAUAUAAUAUAUAUGAAGUAAUCAAGUGGAAAUAAAGAGAGAGAGAGAGAGAGAGAGAGAGAGAGAGAGAGACAUAGAGAGUUUGUAUAAACUUGCACGCGAGGUGGUAGCGACACUUGACAUGAUCGAUGAAUCGUGGAAAGGUAAGAUACCUGCACUUCAUUUAAUCUUAAUACUUGACUUUUAGGAAUAACAUACUAUAUAUUUCGUAAUAUUAACGAUUUCGUUUCACUAAUUACCCUCAAUUAAAUUUGUAAUUAGUUUGAUCUUACUUCGAUUGAUGUCAGGAGAUCUUGCUAUAUUUCGAUUUAUUCAUCAAUUAGAUAACAUAACUAAUUAGAACUAUUUUUAUUACUUACGUGAACAUUUAGAUAUAUUUAGUAGCCUCAAAGAAGGAUUUUGUUAUAUUGGAAAUAAAAUAAACGAAUUUAUUGCAGUCA